UCUCCGUUGGUGAACCAGCGGAGGGAUCAUUACAGAGUUGCAAAACUCCCAAACCAUUGUGAACGUUACCUAUCCCGUUGCUUCGGCGGGCGGCCCGGGCCCCGCGCCCGGCGCCCCCCGGCCCCCCGUGGGCGCCCGCCGGAGGUAAACCAAACCCUUGAAUUGCAUGGCCUCUCUGAGUCUUCUGCACUGAAUAAGUCAAAACUUUCAACAACGGAUCUCUUGGUUCUG
rnacentral:misc_RNA from 1 species